AGCAGUAGCCGCGGUAAUACGAAGGGUGCAAGCGUUACUCGGAAUUACUGGGCGUAAAGCGUGUGUAGGUGGUUGUUUAAGUCUGUCGUGAAAGCCCUGGGCUCAACCUGGGAAUUGCGAUGGAUACUGGGCGACUAGAGUGCGGUAGAGGAUAGUGGAAUUUCCGGUGUAGCAGUGAAAUGCGUAGAGAUCGGAAGGAACAUCUGUGGCGAAGGCGACUAUCUGGGCCAACACUGACACUGAGACACGAAAGCGUGGGGAGCAAACAGGAUUAGAUACCCGAGUAGUCCCUGUCUCUUAUAA
rnacentral:rRNA from 1 species